AUGCCUCUGUUCCCUGAGCUGACUACCAGAUCCUGAAAAGCAAAUGGAAAAAGGAGGCUUGCUUGGGCAGAGGCUGAGCAAACAGUCCUCAGUGCUUGCCUUCCCCUGCUCUCUGGCUCCUCAGAGCAGAGUGCAUGUUCUUCCACAGGAUCACAGUGAGGCAAGACGCCACCUCCUUUGAGUUGGGUUUCCCUUUGACCCACUUGGGGCAGUCCGUUGAAGAAGUACAGCCUUAUAACCGAGCUUAUGUGGUGAGCCACAGCAACAUCCUCCCCAAGAGAAGGAAGAAAGAGUUUGUGUAAAAGAAAAGUGGGCAUAUGGACAGAUGUGACGACCAACUCAGAUGGCCUCUAAGGUGCUUUCUAAGCUCAGCGUUCUACAAGGCUCUACUGGGAGAAUGACACUUAACAGGAGGCAUUCCAAAGCAUGAGGGCCAGCAGGAACUUGGAAGUGGCACUGAACCUUCACGAUACAUGGUUUUCUACUGAUAAAGACAUUUCUCUAUAAAAACAAACCCUUAUUUUUGAUUGGAAUCUAUACUUGUUUACCUAUCGGUCAUGACCCUUUGGAGAUAUCUCUCAGCUGUCUUGACUGACUGACUAUACGUUUUCAUCUGGAAGUGUGGUACCCACCUCAGAGUUGGCAAUGUAGAAUAGAACUCUUGCUUUCUGCUUGUCUCUCAACAUCUGUUUCUUCCCCAUGUCAAUAGAAGCCACAAUUAUCCACCUGUUUCUCAGUACAAACUCUGUCAUAAAAUAUAUAAAAACAAGCUGGAUUGUUGCAACGCAUGAUCCAGGUGCAGGGCCCAAGGACCUGGGCCAUUCUCCACUGCACUCCCAGGCCACAGCAGAGAGCUGGACUGGAAGAGGAGCAACCAGGACAUAACCUGGUGCCCUGACCGGGACUAGAACCCAUGGUGCCGGUGCCACAGGCAGAGGAUUAGCCAAGUGAGCUGCGGCGCCGGCCCUCUUUGCUAAUGACCCUUGCCACCCAAGUGGAAGAAUUGGAUGAAACUCCUAUCUUCAGCCUGACUCAUCCCUGGCCAUUGUGGUUACCUGGGGAGUGAACCAGAAGAUGGUAGAAGAUCUCUUUCUCUCUCUGUCUCUCCCUCCUUCUC